rnacentral:rRNA from 1 species
AGGACGAACGCUGGCGGCGUGCUUAACACAUGCAAGUCGAGCGGAAAGGCCCUUCGGGGUACUCGAGCGGCGAACGGGUGAGUAACACGUGAGCAACCUGCCCUUAGCUUCGGGAUAGCUCCGGGAAACCGGAAUUAAUACCGAAUAUGACUUUGGCUGACAUCAGCAGAAGUGGAAAGUUUUUCGGCUAGGGAUGGACUCGCGGCCUAUCAGCUAGUUGGUGAGGUAACGGCCCACCAAGGCGACGACGGGUAGCCGGCCUGAGAGGGCGACCGGCCACACUGGGACUGAGACACGGCCCAGACUCCUACGGGAGGCAGCAGUGGGGAAUAUUGCGCAAUGGGCGAAAGCCUGACGCAGCGACGCCGCGUGGGGGAUGAAUGCCUUCGGGUUGUAAACCCUUUCAGCAGGACGAAGCGAAAGUGACGGUACCUGCAGAAGAAGCGCCGGCUAACUACGCGCCAGCAGCCGC